AGUCUGUUACGUGUCUGUCUUGUUGUCCAGUUUUUCAACGAGUUUUAUAACCAGUUCCUUGUGUACUUCUGUGCUCCGCCGUACCUUAGCUGUCCGCAUCUACUGUGAAAGAUUAAACACCAGCGACACCGAGAUACGGAACGCGCGUGAAUCUUUCUUUCUCUCUUUUCUUUUCCCAACUUCUUUUUAACUGUAAUGUUUGUCGCCAGAGAUCGAUAGAUCUUCGUUCAACGAAGAAAUAUCGAGUUCGCGGAGUUUGUCGCGUUUCCUAGUUCCUUCGAGAUGGUUGUUUCUCUCGUGUUUGUAUGCACGUGUUGCAAAAAGUUCGAUGCGAAAUGGAGAAUGAUGUCGUUCGACAUUUUUCACCGUCCAACGAAACGCGAAAUUUAUCGGUAGUAAAAGUGUGUUCUGAACACGCUUUUAAAAUCCAAAAGUAAAUAACUACAAAAUGAAUCUAACAAUAGGAAUGUGGAAAAUAUUAUCAUUAUUAUCGACAGGUGUUAUUAAUACGUCUUUAUUACACUGUAGCAGUUAUAUAAAGAAUGUAACCUUCUAUAACUUCGUGUACCUUGGAACAUGAACAUAUUUCUAUUAUCUAUAUGCUUUAAAUCUUGUUUUAUUAUCGCUUUAUUAUUGUACUUUAUAUAUUGCAUAAUUAUGAAAAUCAAAGCAGAAAACUGCGGUCGACUACACAAUAUUCCUAUUUCUCGUGACCAAAGAAAAUUCCAGCCAUAUAGAAAAUUAAUAAAAGUAUAUCAACGUAGAUGCAUUAUUAGUCACGAAAACAUGAAAAUACAUACGAACAACGAACAAGUACUUGCGAAAGUAGCUUACAAAAUUUAGAAUAGCGAACAAACGACGAAUAAUGAAACUUCCUUAAUCGAAAUCUUUGAUACGAUCGUACCAGAAAAUAAAUACAAGAUUCUACAACCACUCUGAACGAAAGUAACGCAAUUCUAAUAAAUUUAUCGCGUUCCGCGGUUCUACCAGAGAAAACUAGGAAAGCAGUACUGACGGCGAAAUUUCCACUCGCGACUGCUCGCAGCGUAAUAACGCGGCGUUAUAUAUCUAAAAAGCAUAUAACCGGCUGAAAGUUGCGUUAAAAUUUCCAAAUAAGGUUUGUUGUUAAACGGUUUCAACGAGUAACAGGUGCACAACCUACAUUCGCGGUAUUUACGCUGCGUUGGCCUCCAGAAAUCUCUGUUGGAAAAUGACACAUAGCGGAUUAUGCGAGAUGAUGUUUACGAUCUCGUAACUCUGUAACAUCAAUCUCGUCGAAUAAAAAAGAAUUCCAUGCUUCUCUCAGCGUUGUUCGACGAUAUCGAUUUUAAGGGCGAGAUCGAGUCGAGAUUGAUAGGAAAUACUGGAACCGAUCCUACGAAAACUCUCGGUUAUCUGCCGAUAUCUAACGUUCACGAUGACACACAUACUUACGUCUCUGGAUGCUUGUGAUUUAAAUGGAUCAAUGAGAUGCGCUUGGCGAAACGGCAGGAGCCAAGCUUUUCUCAUUUCUGCACCAUAGACGUUGGCAUUGCGACGAAGACGACGCGAGGGUGCAUUUAGGAUUGGCGCAUCGCCAACAGGUCCUUCGGGAGAUUUGCACUAUACGUUAUACCUAUACGUAUGUAUCUGUACACGUAAUAUCGUCAUCGUCAUAUACGUAAAUCCGAAAACGUUAAGCCGUUUGUCGAGAGAUCAGGUAUGCGCAUUUCGUUUGAUUUCCAUCGAACGUAUGAUGAAAAGGAAAAGGAACGAAAUAGUCGGUAGAGCAUCUAGUCGCCCGUUAAACCGCACAGCGUGUGGAAAUUGCGAUUAGCGAUAAAAGUGGGAAAUAACGAGGCAAGGAAAAUCGUCAUCAAGCU